rnacentral:rRNA from 1 species
AGAGUUUGAUCCUGGCUCAGAACGAACGCUGGCGGCGUGCUUAACACAUGCAAGUCGAACGAGAAAGUACCUUCGGGUACGAGUAAAGUGGCGCACGGGUGAGUAACGCGUAGAUAACCUGUCCAGGUGUUCGGGAUAGCCCUUCGAAAGGGGGAUUAAUACCGGAUACGUUGGUCUGUCUUAAGGCAGAUCAAGAAAGGUGGCCUCUAUUUAUAAGCUAUCGCAUUUGGAGGGGUCUGCGUACCAUUAGUUUGUUGGUGGGGUAAUGGCCUACCAAGACUUCGAUGGUUAGCGGGUCUGAGAGGAUGAUCCGUCACACUGGCACUGAAACACGGGCCAGACUCCUACGGGAGGCAGCAGUGAGGAAUAUUGCGCAAUGGGGGAAACCCUGACGCAGCGACGCCGCGUGGGUGAGGAAGGCUUUCGGGUCGUAAAGCCCUGUCAGAAGGGAAGAAAUGUGUGAUGGUUAAUACCCGUUGCAUUUGACGGUACCUUCAAAGGAAGCACCGGCUAACUCCGUGCCAGCAGCCGCGGUAAUACGGAGGGUGCAAGCGUUGUUCGGAAUCACUGGGCGUAAAGGGCGCGCAGGCGGUUUGAUUAGUCAGAUGUGAAAGCCCACGGCUUAACCGUGGAAGUGCAUUUGAAACUGUCAAACUUGAGUACCAGAGGGGGUAGUGGAAUUCCCGGUGUAGAGGUGAAAUUCGUAGAUAUCGGGAGGAAUACCGGUGGCGAAGGCGACUACCUGGCUGGAUACUGACGCUGAGGCGCGAAAGCGUGGGGAGCAAACAGGAUUAGAUACCCUGGUAGUCCACGCCGUAAACGAUGUGAACUAGGUGUAGGGGGUGUUGAUCCCCUCUGUGCCGCAGCUAACGCAUUAAGUUCACCGCCUGGGGAGUACGGUCGCAAGAUUAAAACUCAAAGGAAUUGACGGGGGCCCGC